AGUCACGCGGCCGACGCCGAAGACGAGACGUUGGCCUAACCUCGACGCCUCUCCGGCGGCGGGACAACUCGGGAUGGGGAGGAAGGGAGGGGGGGGGGUAGGACGGGUUGAAAGGUCAAGGUGACGCUCUGGACCAGGACGGGCGAGGCCAGACCGGGGGGAAGGUGCGCGACACGCGUGCGGACCGCACCGAGCGCGCCGGUCGAGUGCGACUUUCGCUUGUUUCCGAAACAGUGCCUCUUGGAUGUCCUGCAGCCGCCGCACGUGGUUUCAACUGUAGUAUCUUGAAGCGUCAAACAACGCUGCCUCACUCAACAUUUUGAAGCUCCAAGAGACUUAUAUAAUGAAUUGAUGUUCACCGUCAUUCAAUAAAUACCUUGAAUAAAAAUUUUGUAUUUUAAAAUACUCACUGAUAAAAUCAUACCAUUUU